GAUGAACGCUGGCGGCGUGCCUAAUACAUGCAAGUCGAGCGAACAGAUGAGGAGCUUGCUCCUCUUACGUUAGCGGCGGACGGGUGAGUAACACGUGGAUAACCUACCUAUAAGACUGGGAUAACUUCGGGAAACCGGAGCUAAUACCGGAUAAUAUAUUGAACCGCAUGGUUCAAUAGUGAACGACGGUUUUGCUGUCACUUAUAGAUGGAUCCGCGCCGCAUUAGCUAGUUGGUAAGGUAACGGCUUACCAAGGCAACGAUGCGUAGCCGACCUGAGAGGGUGAUCGGCCACACUGGAACUGAGACACGGUCCAGACUCCUACGGGAGGCAGCAGUAGGGAAUCUUCCGCAAUGGGCGAAAGCCUGACGGAGCAACGCCGCGUGAGUGAUGAAGGUCUUCGGAUCGUAAAACUCUGUUAUUAGGGAAGAACAAAUGUGUAAGUAACUAUGCACGUCUUGACGGUACCUAAUCAGAAAGCCACGGCUAACUACGUG
rnacentral:rRNA from 1 species